AGAGUUUGAUCCUGGCUCAGGAUGAACGCUGGCGGCAUGUCUAAGGCAUGCAAGUCUUAGGGUAGUAGCAAUACUGCCCUGGCAAACGGGUGAGUAACACAUUGGUAACUUGCCUCCGUCUCGGGCAUAACCCUGCGAAAGCGGGGACAAUUCCCGAUAGUCAUCCCGCAGUUAUGCGGGAUGUAAAGUUCCGACGGACGGAGAGAGGCCUAUGGCCCAUCAGCUAGUUGGUAGGGUAAUGGCCUACCAAGGCUAUGACGGGUAGCGGGUGUGAGAGCAUGACCCGCCUCACUGGGACUGAGACACUGCCCAGACUCCUACGGGAGGCUGCAGUCGAGAAUCUUCCUCAAUGGCCGAAAGGCUGAAGGAGCAAUGCCGCGUGAUCGAAGAAGCCCCUCGGGGUGUAAAGAUCUUUUAUCAGGGACGAAUUUGUGACGGUACCUGAUGAAUAAGCCACUGCUAACUUCGUGCCAGCAGCAGCGGUAAUACGAAGGUGGCAAGCGUUAUCCGGAUUAAUUGGGCGUAAAGCGUCCGCAGACGGUUUGAUGCGUCGUGGGUUAAAUCUGAAGGCUCAACCUUCAGGCUGCUCACGAAACGGUCAUUCUUGAGAUCGGAAGAGGUGAGCGGAAUUAUCGGUGUAGCGGUAAAAUGCGUUAAUAUCGAUAAGAACACCAAAUGCGAAGGCAGCUCACUGGUACGAUUCUGACGUUAAGGGACGAAAGCGUGGGGAGCGAAUGGGAUUAGAUACCCCAGUAGUCCACGCCGUAAACGAUGGGUACUGAGCAUUGGGAGUAUCGACCCUCCCAGUGUUGUUCUAAUUAAGCUAACGCCUUAAGUACCCCGCCUGGGAAGUACGGUCGCAAGACUAAAACUCAAAGGAAUUGACGGGAGCCCGCACAAGCGGUGGAGCAUGUGGUUCAAUUCGACGGUAAGCGAGGAACCUUACCAAGGCUUGACAUCCCUGGAAUCCCGCGGAAACGUGGGAGUGCCGCAAGGAACCAGGAGACAGGCGCUGCAUGGUUGUCGUCAGCUCGUGUCGUGAGAUGUUGGGUUAAGUCCUCUAACGAGCGCAACCCUCGUCCUAUGUUAAAUAUUCGUAGGAGACUGCCUGGGUUUAACCAGGAGGAAGGUGGGGAUGACGUCAAAUCAGCAUGGCCCUUACGCCUUGGGCUACACACGUGCUACAAUGGCCGGAACAAUGGGUCGCCAAGCGGUAACGCGGAGCUAAUCCCAUCAACACCGGCCCCAGUUCGGAUUGAGGGCUGCAAUUCGCCCUCAUGAAGUCGGAAUCGCUAGUAAACGCCAAUCAGCCACGUGGCGUUGAAUACGUUCUCGGGCUUUGUACACACCGCCCGUCACACCAAGAGAGUCGAUAGUACCCGAAAGCUGACUUUGGUCGGACUAAGGUAAGAUCGAUGAUAGGGGUGAAGUCGUAACAAGGCA
rnacentral:rRNA from 1 species